UCCCGGGUCGUCUAGGGGCAGGACAGCGGACUUUGAAUCCGUGAACGGAGGUUCGAUUCCUCCCCCGGGAG
rnacentral:tRNA from 1 species